ACAGUCACAUCGCUUUGAAACACCAGUUUCUGUAUGAUCAUCAAAAUUAAGCAACAAUGAGCCUGGUCAGUACCUAGAUGGGUGACCAGUUGGGAAUCCCAAGUGCUGGA